AUUGAACGCUGGCGGCAGGCCUAACACAUGCAAGUCGAGCGGAUGAAGGGAGCUUGCUCCUGGAUUCAGCGGCGGACGGGUGAGUAAUGCCUAGGAAUCUGCCUGGUAGUGGGGGAUAACGUCCGGAAACGGGCGCUAAUACCGCCUACGUCCUGAGGGAGAAAGUGGGGGAUCUUCGGACCUCACGCUAUCAGAUGAGCCUAGGUCGGAUUAGCUAGUUGGUGGGGUAAAGGCCUACCAAGGCGACGAUCCGUAACUGGUCUGAGAGGAUGAUCAGUCACACUGGAACUGAGACACGGUCCAGACUCCUACGGGAGGCAGCAGUGGGGAAUAUUGGACAAUGGGCGAAAGCCUGAUCCAGCCAUGCCGCGUGUGUGAAGAAGGUCUUCGGAUUGUAAAGCACUUUAAGUUGGGAGGAAGGGCAGUAAGUUAAUACCUUGCUGUUUUGACGGUACCAACAGAAUAAGCACCGGCUAACUUCGUG
rnacentral:rRNA from 1 species